CUCUUUUGGUGUUUUUUGUGGGUGAGCCUAGCAUAACGGUUUAGACAUGUGGUAUUUGGUGUUUGGAGGACAGGAAAAGGAAGAAGAGGCUUCAAAGAUGGCAGCAGAGGGGCAGCCUGACAAAAUGGCAUCCAAUAUGGAAGUGCAUAUGAAAAAAAGAUGUCAUUGAACUUCUUCCUGCUGAAAAAAUUCCACCCACUGACAUUCAUCAACAAUUGCUGAAUGUUUAUUGAGACCAAACAGUGGAGGUGAGCACAGUGACGUGGUGGUGAUGUGUUUCAGCAGUCGCAGCGGCAACACUGGGUCACCUUCAUUGGUGCAGAUUCUUAUAAUUAUGGCAUGCAGGCUCUUGUUCAUCACUGGUGAAACUACAUAGCCGAUGGUUAUGGUGACUACUGUAGCUGAGAAUUUGCUUUAUCUAAUAGUGUUAUUUUGCUCUUUGUAUCUUUUGUAGUUUCCAUGGAAAUAAAUAUGAGGCAUUA